UUUGAAGGCUAGGGUCAGAAGGUUUAGGUUUUUGGUUAAGGUUUUGGUGCAAGUUUUGUGUCAUUUGGGGUUUUUAUGAAUAAGUUAUAGGCGCUCAAAGUUAAGGUGUUAGUUUUGGACCUACUGUCACUCUUUUGGGCAUAACGCACGCGUACGGACGGCAAUUGAGGAUCGGCGACCGCGACUAAAGAGAGCUCUUUUGCGGCUAUACUUUCCAUAUCCUGUUUACUGGAUUUCAAGUUAUGAUGAAGGAGUUAUUGGAUUUUGAAGUCAGCACAUGCAAUUUAAGGAUAGUAAGUAAACCGAUUUACUAGUGUUUGUCUCUUGAGCUAUAUCUUGAGCAAUUUUGUGAGGUUUUGGCUCAAAAUUUCAAGGAAUGUGUAACUUCAUGUUAGAAAACUUUAUGCAUAAGUUUUAUGACAUUUGGAGUUCGGGUUUUUGAGAUAUAAGGAAAAUAGUUUUUGGGUGCUUAUAAAUUAGGG
rnacentral:lncRNA from 1 species